ensembl:lncRNA
CGGGGCAGGAGCCUGGUGAAAUUACUUUCCUAUUAUUUCUUUGCGCCAUCACUGCGCGUGACCCUUGAUCAAAAGGUCCCUGCCCCGAGGGGCUUACAAUCUUUAAUAGGACACAGGGAGGGAACAGAGAAAGGUUGAGGUCCUGGCUGGAUCCUGAGUCUAGGUCUCUGAAUUUAAACUUUGGGAUUUCCGGACAUUUUCCCACCUGUAACCUCUUCCUCUGUUUUUUAUUUUCCUUUCUGUCUCCUAGGACAUAAAAGAUUGCUCAGACGGCAAAGCAUUAAUCCACCACUGGAGAUUGUGGUAAGUUACUUCCAUGGGGAAUCCAUUCCCCACAUGUGCAGGGAGGUCAUGGCGCUGACCUGCGUGAAACAGGGCUGGGUUGGGGGGUUGCAGGCUGGUCUCGCCCCAGCCCCUUGCCCCCCUCCUUCCAAGCCAGGGGUCAGGCGCCCAGGCAGGAGCAGGUUGGCAGCCUGUGGUGACGUGGGCAUGGGCACCCUGGCAGGGGUGCUUGUUCUGCCCCCCUAGAGAGUACAAUGUUCUUCUUCCUUUGCAGGGCCGUGGUUUGGGGAAUCAACAGCAGCCCAGCGGUGCAGGGAAAACCAGCAAAAUCCAGAGGCGAGAGGCCCGCCAGUACGAGGGGGGAAAGGCUCCCACUUCAGGGAGGGAGCCUUUCCCCAACGUUUACUUCGUGCUGGUGAGAUCCCUGGAGGGACGUGGCAAACGUGGCGAACAUCAGGACCGCGCCUCCAGGGAUGAGGCUCCAGCACCUGCUCCUGGGAUCAAAAAUGAAAGACCAUCGCGGCGGUUCCCAGCGCCUGAUCCUGAUCCUCACCUGCCUCACCCUCCGUCGGUUCUCCGUACGGGCAUGCCUCCUUCCUGGCCGUACUUGGCGCAGAAGCAGCAGCCAAGGUUUCCCCCCAUCAAAAACGCCUCAAGGGUGAUUCCGGAGCCGGGGGAGACUUUGGCUGCUGCCUCUGUGCCAGGCCGGUCAGGAUGGAGCCCAGUCGCCCGUACGGAGGAAUUCAGGGUGGGGCAGUUAAUAAGAUCAGCAAGGAGGAGGUUCAGCCUGGGAGCUGCCGCAUCCCGGGAGGGCCUGGAGCCGAGGCAACAGCCUCUCGCCUCACAGGGUAUGUCUUCUGCACCGCUGUGGCUGCUGCUAAAGCCCCCUCCCCGCAAAUAAUACAGGCCAGUCGUGCUGCCCUCAGAGAGCGCCGCUUGGAGCGGAGUCGCGUUGACUGGCCAGCGUCAGUUUUUCCGCCAGUGGCAACCGCCUGGCCUGGGUCAGCCAUGAUAGCACUGUGUCGGUUGCAGAUGCCUCCAAAAACAUGAUGAUCUCGCAACUGAAAACAGAAUUCCUCCCAUUGCUGGGUGUGUCGUUCGUCUCGGAGAACAGUGUGGUUGCCGCUGGCCAUGAUUGCUGCCCGAUGCUCUUCAACUGUGACGUCCGUGGUACCCUCACCUUUGUCUCCAAGCUGGACAUUCCCAAGCAGAGCAUACAACGCAAUAUUUUGGCCAUGGAACGUUUCCGCAACAUGGACAAGAGAGCCACUACGGAGGAUCUCAACACUACUCUGGAGACGCUGCAUCAGAGCAGCAUCACCCAAGUGUCUAUUUAUGAGGUGGACAAACGAGAUUGCCGCCAGUUCUGCACCACUGGUAAUGAUGGAGCAAUGACCACCUGGGACUUCAAGACAUUAGAGUCCUUGAUCCAGGGGCUGCGGAGCAUGUAAAUCUGGCUCUCUGUUCUCUAGCAAGACAACUCAUUCUGGCACCUGCACAGACUUGAAAAGGGAUGGUGAAGAUAGGUCGCUUUUUGAAGCACUGAGAAAAUGACGACUUGGUGGAUUUUUUCCCCUUUUCCUUUUCAUCCCCCAAUUUUGGUGAAAUGUGUUGGUUUGAAAAUCAGCUGUGAUUGUGUUAUAUAUUUGGCUUUGUUUUUAUUAUUAUUAUUAUUGGUUGUUUCAUUCCAUUCUUUGCCAAAGCUGCUCCUUAAAAUAGUUUAUUGCAGGAAGUAUGAAUCCCUAACUUAAAAGGGGAAUUUUGUGUAAAAAUGUCUGUUAGAACUGAAAAAAAUAAAGGAAAAAAAAUAAAGAUAACUCUGUAGCUGUUUCUUCUAUGGGAAAUAGUCCACCUGGAAACUUCGGUGAAUUUCUGAAAAGUUUUUUUCUUGGAAAAUGUACAACUAGACCAUGAGUCAAACCAAAACCACAGGUCUUGUAUGAAGUCGAUGUCUAUAUUAAAAGUGUUCUCUUGUGGCUGACAAACAGUCUUGUGUUGGUUGUCAGUGUGAAUUUUGCAACACUGAUUUGUGGGCAGAAGCUUCAUGCCAGCAUUUGAAAUUAGCCAGGGGCAUUUUGCAGCUGCCUGUCGGCCACUGGUGAUGCCAGGGAGCCAGGAUGGUGUCUGGGAAUAACUGGAUAGCAUAGUGAAUAUUAUACAGCCUAAUAGAAAAAUAGUUCAUAGCAAUAAACAAUCCUCUCCCCUCCCCUUUCACAGGCCAUAGAUUAUUUAAUGGCCAGAGGCCUAGGUAAAGAGACGUGUAAUGAUGGUGCCAAGCCCAGCCUCUGGGAAGACUAAUCGGGGAGCCACUGCAGAAAAGGCCCUUUCUCUUGUUGUCCCCCUCCAAAACCCCCUUAUUGGGGACAUGGAGAAGGGCCCCAGGUGGCAAGUGCAGGGUACGAGUGGGUUGGUUCCAGGGCUUAUAGGUUCCCGCCACCUCGGUAUAACAUUGCUGUGAACAACGGUGCUCCAGUCUCUGACCAAGGGAGAAUUUUACUGUUCUGGUUCCCUGUGGUCCUUUACUGGUGGGAUAGCUCAGUCGGUAGAGCAUGAUGCUCUCAACCUCCAGGGUUGUGGGCAGUGGCG